AUUAAACUCAAAGAUGAACACGACCUCGGCUGCGUAUUGGUCUACUUUUUCUGAUGAGGACUUUUCUAUUUAUUCUGAAGACGAAGACGACUGUGACAUUUCCAAUCAAACGCUGCGUUUGCCUUGCAGCAUUGCUUUGCAGAGACAGUUGCUGUGGUUCGGUGUGGUGCAGACGUUGGAUUUAUGGAACGAAUGCGUCAAGUUGAAUGCGUUGAGGGCUUGACAGAAAUGGUAUCAGAAGGAGGACGGUCUUGAACUCUCCGAUGGCCUUGUAAGUCCUGUUGGUGUCCAGCUGCCAAAAGAGGGAAUGAAUGGUCAACAACAUAUCAUAAACACACUCUACUAUUGGAUACUACAGCCAUAGGAGAUGGAACUGAUUGGAUACUACAGCCAUAGGAGAUGGAACUGAUUGGAUACUACAGCCAUAGGGGAUGGAACUGAUUGGAUACUACAGCCAUAGGGGAUGGAACUGAUUGGAUACUACAGCCAUAGGGGAUGGAACUGAUUGGAUACUACAGCCAUAGGGGAUGGAACUGAUUGGAUACUACAGCCAUAGGAGAUGGAACUGAUUGGAUACUACAGCCAUAGGGGAUGGAACUGAUUGGAUACUACAGCCAUGGGGGAUGGAACUGAUUGGAUACUACAGCCAUAGGGGAUGGAACUGAUUGGAUACUACAGCCAUAGGGGAUGGAACUGAUUGGUUACUACAGCCAUAGGGGAUGGAACUGAUUGGAUCCUACAGCCAUAGGGGAUGGAACUGAUUGGAUACUACAGCCAUAGGAGAUGGAACUGAUUGGAUACUACAGCCAUAGGAGAUGGAACUGAUUGGAUACUACAGCCAUAGGGGAUGGAACUGAUUGGAUACUACAGCCAUAGGGGAUGGAACUGAUUGGAUACUACAGCCAUAGGGGAUGGAACUGAUUGGAUACUACAGCCAUAGGGGAUGGAACUGAUUGGAUACUACAGCCAUAGGGGAUGGAACUGAUUGGAUACUACAGCCAUAGGAGAUGGAACUGAUUGGAUACUACAGCCAUAGGAGAUGGAACUGAUUGGUUACUACAGCCAUAGGAGAUGGAACUGAUUGGAUACUACAGCCAUAGGAGAUGGAACUGAUUGGAUACUACAGCCAUAGGAGAUGGAACUGAUUGGUUACUACAGCCAUAGGAGAUGGAACUGAUUGGAUACUACAGCCAUGGGGGAUGGAACUGAUUGGAUACUACAGCCAUAGGGGAUGGAACUGAUUGGAUACUACAGCCAUAGGAGAUGGAACUGAUUGGAUACUACAGCCAUAGGAGAUGGAACUGAUUGGAUACUACAGCCAUAGGAGAUGGAACUGAUUGGAUACUACAGCCAUAGGAGAUGGAACUGAUUGGAUACUACAGCCAUGGGGGAUGGAACUGAUUGGAUACUACAGCCAUGGGGGAUGGAACUGAUUGGAUACUACAGCCAUGGGGGAUGGAACUGAUUGGAUACUACAGCCAUAGGGGAUGGAACUGAUUGGAUACUACAGCCAUAGGAGAUGGAACUGAUUGGAUACUACAGCCAUAGGGGAUGGAACUGAUUGGAUACUACAGCCAUAGGGGAUGGAACUGAUUGUGAAUGCACACAGGUGCAGAUAAGAGGUCAAGCUCAGCCUUGCCAGAAGAUCCUCAAAGUGUUUGGGGUACAGACCUUCCAAAGAUUUCUGGUUGAACACAUUGCCAUAGACAUCCAAUAUCUUGUUGAUUUCCC
rnacentral:lncRNA from 1 species